UGUUGGCUUGUGUAUGAACUAUUAUGAUUAUCCCUCAUUCUCUCCUCUAAGUCUUGCGUUAUCAUUUUGCUCUUUGGGUAUCUCAUUGUUAAGUCCCUUCCAACUUAACAGACACAAGUGAUAUGCACGUAAAUUGAGUGUUAGCUCUAAAGGACCUUCUUUUAAGUCUAUUUUAAUUGAGUGCUGCAUUGCCUUCUUGGUUGGGGGUCAAUUUGAG
rnacentral:misc_RNA from 1 species